GUUUUGUCUGGGGCUCGUCCUGCUACAUUUCUUGGUUCCCUGAACAGGAAGCGAGGUAACUGACGGACGGCCAAGGCAGCCCCUUGGGUGGCUUAGGCCUGCCCUGUGGAGCAUCCCUGCGGUGGACUCUGGCCAGCCUGAGUGACGCGAUCCAAAGAGCGCUCCCGGGUAGGAAAUUCCCCGGGUGGAACGCCUCGCCAGAGCAGCACGUAGCAGGCCCCCGAGGAGGAUUAACACACUGGCUGAACACUGGGAAGGAACUGGCACUUGGAGUCCGGACAUCUGAAACUUGAUUGACAGGCCUCGGAAGUCAAAAUAAGUGGUUUCCUAGACCGGGUCGAGAGCAAGUCUCUAUUGGUCCCAACUGAGUUUUUUCAGCUGGUUUUUCAACCAAACAGCACCUCAUCUCCCAGUGAGGGGAAGGGAAGGCUGGGCUGAGAGCAGCAAGGCUGCUCAUCUCACCUCUCCCCACCCAGCCAUGCCAGCCGCCUCACCUGGUGGGGAGAGGUGGGCCUCACCUGGGUCCCCUGGCAGUGCUCUGUGAAGGGUCUUGACAUUGCACUGUAAUAAUAAAGGUGUGUGUGAAGUAUC
rnacentral:lncRNA from 1 species